rnacentral:lncRNA from 1 species
CUCCAGGUUGAAACGAUGGCGGUCAGAACCGCCUGAGCUAAAUGCAAGAUGGUAUGGCAUCCAGACUCUGCUCAUAAGUAUCUGCAGUGAUCCAUACCUUGAUUGUACAUCUACUCUGCAUCCUGAGGACCUGAACAUGCUAACUGGUGGCUGCAGAUUUGUCUUCUAAGGAGCAAGUGUGGUCUGUGGACAGGCAGCUUCAGCCUCACCUGGGAUUUUGUUUGCACUAGAAAGUGCCAAGCCCUACCCUAGACCUAUUAAAGCAGAACUGGCGUUUAACAAGACACCCCAGGUAAUUUGUGUGCACCUUAGAGUCUGAGAUGCACUAGUGUAGUGAUUCGCAGGGGGACAAUUUUGACCUCCAGGGGACAAUAUCUGGAGACAUUUUUGGGUGUCACAACGUGCUGGGGAGAGGGUGCUACUGGCAUCUAAUGGGCUGAGGCCAAGGGUGCUGCUAAACAUCUGGCAAUACCGGGCCAACCUCCCCCCUCCUCCUGCCCACAGUAAAGAAUUACCCCGCCUGGAUUGUCAGUAGUGCAGAGGUAGAGGAAACCCUACACCUGUGAAACUCAUCUGACCUUUACUAUGAAUUCCUGGAUCUCCUGGUGCAUAUCAUUUCUGUUGCCCUGGCUGACAUUUCCACCUUUUCUCUUUUCUAGAUUUUAUUACAAGAACUCAAUCUGUUGGUCUCUAGGA